GGGUGACGAUACUGUAGGCGAGAGCCUGCGGAAAAAUAGCCC
rnacentral:rRNA from 1 species